rnacentral:rRNA from 1 species
CAAGAGCGUAUGUUAAAGUUGUUGCAGUUAAAAAGCUCGUAGUUGAACCUUGGGUUUGGUUGGCCGGUCCGCUUUUUUGCGAGUACUGGAUUCAACCGAGCCUUUCCUUCUGGCUAACCAGUCGUUUCGGCGGCUGGCGAACCAGGAUUUUUACUUUGAGAAAAUUAGAGUGUUCAAAGCAGGCAUUAGCUUGAAUAUAUUAGCAUGGAAUAAUAGAAUAGGACGUUAUGGUUCUAUUUUGUUGGUUUCUAGGACCAUCGUAAUGAUUAAUAGGGACGGUCGGGGGCAUCAGUAUUCAGUUGUCAGAGGUGAAAUUCUUGGAUUUACUGAAGACUAACUACUGCGAAAGCAUUUGCCAAGGACGUUUUCAUUAA